rnacentral:tRNA from 1 species
GCCCGGGUGGCGGAAUUGGUAGACGCGCUGGACUUAAAAUCCAGUGGGCCGCAAUGCCCGUGCGGGUUCAAGUCCCGCCCCGGGUA